rnacentral:snoRNA from 1 species
UUGCUGUGAUGUAUGAAUUUCUUCACCUGAAUCAAGUGAAGAGCAAAACGAGCUUUUUAACACUGAGCAAU